UACCAGCAGCCCCGAGUGGUCGGGACGUUUUAUUGGGCCUAAAGCAUCCGUAGCCGGUUCUACAAGUCUUCCGUUAAAUCCACCUGACUUAACAGAUGGGCUGCGGAAGAUACUAUAGAGCUAGGAGGCGGGAGAGGCAAGCGGUAGACUCGAUGGGUAGGGGUAAAAUCCGUUGAUCCAUUGAAGACCACCAGUGGCGAAGGCGGCUUGCCAGAACGCGC
rnacentral:rRNA from 1 species